UAAGCUAGUGGGUUCAUACCCCGCAUAUAAAGGUUAUAAUCCUUU
rnacentral:tRNA from 1 species